rnacentral:antisense_RNA from 1 species
AAAGAGGGGCCCCGGAUCAGGACAGCAGAGUUUCCUCAGACGUGAUGUGGUGCCCCUUGCAUCCUGCUCAGAGAAUUCUCAGCAGCACAGAUACACUGCCUCUAGGACUGGGACAGAUAGCCACUGAGUACCUGCUUCAAAUCACCCUGCACGUUUUCUUGUUGGAAAGAUAACCACUGGAGAACCAUCUCAUUACCUUCAGCAAAAAUGGAAACAAAUCAAGACAUUAAGAAUGCCACAGUGGACAGCAGUUACGCAAGGUUCAGCAGAGGAAGUUUUCAAGAUGGUGUGCCUCGCUAGCCAGAAAUCAGAAAAGAUUGAAGCUAGCCUUUUCAUCUUAGCUGCUCCUUAAAUCAGUGCAACCCCUCCAAGUUAAUGUGAAUUGAAACAUGCAUUGCUUUUCAACUUAAUUGAGUACUUACUAUAUGUGAACCACUGCACAAAAUAGGGGAAGAAAAUGUGGGAGACAAAGAUGUGGAGCCUGCCUUCAAUAAAUUUACAGUUAGUUUCAGGGUACAUUGUUUUUCUUCUGCUGUUAAUUAGGUGUAUACCCAAGACAAUAAAUAAAUGAAUGGAAAAGUA